rnacentral:rRNA from 1 species
CGAUGCAGACUCGAUGAUGCAUUGGCAUAUAGCCAGUGCAGUGUCGCCGGGAAGCCGUUAAGUCUGCCGCCUGGGAAGUACGUACGCAAGUAUGAAACUUAAAGGAAUUGGCGGGGGAGCACCACAAGGGGUGAAGCCUGCGGUUCAAUUGGAGUCAACGCCAGAAAUCUUACCCGGAGAGACAGCAGAAUGAAGGUCAAGCUGAAGACUUUACCAGACAAGCUGAGAGGUGGUGCAUGGCCGUCGCCAGCUCGUGCCGUGAGAUGUCCUGUUAAGUCAGGUAACGAGCGAGAUCCUCGCCACUAGUUGCUAUCAUUAUUCUCAGGAAUAGUGGGGCGAAUUAGUGGGACUGCCGUUGUUAAAACGGAGGAAGGAAGGGGCUACGGCAGGUCAGUAUGCCCCGAAACUCUGGGGCCACACGCGGGCUGCAAUGGUAGCGACAAUGAGCUCCAAACUCGAAAGAGAGUGGCAAUCUCUAAACGCUACCACAGUUAUGACUGAGGGCUGUAACUCGCCCUCACGACUAUGGAAUCCCUAGUAACCGCGUGUCAUUACCGCGCGGUGAAUACGUCCCUGCUCCUUGCACACACCGCCCGUCGUUUCAUCGAAGUUUGCUUUUAGCGAGGUGAUGUUUAAUUGACAUUAUCGAACUUGAGGUAAGUGACGAGGGAAAAGUCGUAACAAGGUGACCGUAGGGGAACCUGCGGUCG